AUACUUACCUGGCAGGGGAGAUCUCAUGAUCCUCUCAGCUGAUCAAGUUUUGUUGUAGGGUGAGAUAUGUGCCUCACACUCCAGGCAGGCCAACCCCUUUGAGCUUUCACAAAUGCAGGGAGCUCGACUGCACAAUUUUGUGGUAAUGUGGGGUUGUGUUCUCACUUUCCCGAU
ensembl:snRNA U1 U1 spliceosomal RNA